UUAAAGGGCUGCAGUAUAUUGACUGUACAAAGGUAGCAUAAUCAUUAGUCAUUUAAUUGAUGACUUGUAUGAAGGAUUGGAUGAAAUAUAAACUGUCUCUUAAUUAUAUUUAAAAUUUAAUUUUUUAAUUAAAAAGUUAAAAUAAAUUAGAAAGACGAGAAGACCCUAUAGAGUUUUAUAAAUAAAAUUAAUUGAGAUUAUUUAUAAAAUUAAAAUUAAGAUUAAUUUAUUUAUUUUGUUGGGGUGACAGAAAAAUAUAAAAAACUUUUUAUAUAUAUUUAAAACGUUGAUAAGUGGUUAAAUGAUCCAAUAUUAUUGAUUAUAAGAAAAAAUUACCUUAGGGAUAACAGCGUAAUUUUUUUUUUUAGUUCAUAUAAAAAAAAAAGUUUGCGACCUCGAUGUUGGAUUAAGAUAAAAUUUAAAUGUAGAAG
rnacentral:rRNA from 1 species